rnacentral:rRNA from 1 species
CGGACCGGCGCACGGGUGAGUAACGCGUAUCCAACCUGCCCACCACUUGGGGAGUAACCUUGCGAAAGUAAGACUAAUACCCAAUGAUAUCUCUAGAAGACAUCUGAAAGAGAUUAAAGAUUUAUCGGUGAUGGAUGGGGAUGCGUCUGAUUAGCUUGUUGGCGGGGUAACGGCCCACCAAGGCGACGAUCAGUAGGGGUUCUGAGAGGAAGGUCCCCCACAUUGGAACUGAGACACGGUCCAA